AUUCCACGAUUCCAUAGACCUGAUCUGCAGUGGCGUGCGUGCAAAAGGUCACCUGAGGCAAUUUAUUCCUCUUCUCGGUUCCGCGCAAUACAAACGGUAGAACUCUGUAGGGACUCUUCUCACCGAUUUCAGGGCUCCAAGAUGUAGACCCGCCAUGUACAUGCCUGCUGAGAAAGCAGGUGCUCCAAUUUGGAUGUUUUGUUGAAAACUUGAAUGAUUUUUUGAUAUUAAAAUAUCGGUAAUAGCCAAUAUUGAUAAAUAUAAUUCACGACUGAUUAGAAGAUGACUAAUCAAAACAAAAAGGAACAUUAAAAUGAUCCAGAUUAGAAACUUUCGACCGGAACACCGCAUUAUUAUCAAAGAAACAAUUUUCCAUGUUCUUUAAUGUGAUUCAUCGAACUAUUAUAUACAUACUUGGACAAUACUGUUCCAUUUACGGAAAGACGAAACCGUCAAUUUCGGAUCGAUACGGCGCAGGCGUGCCUAUCUUCCGUAUAAUUCGUCAGAAUUUAAACUUAUAAAAACAAAAACUUCAGCUUCAAUUAAAAAAAA